UGGUGGGUAGUUUGACUGGGGCGGUCUCCUCCUAAAGAGUAACGGAGGAGCACGAAGGUUGGCUAAUCCUGGUCGGACAUCAGGAGGUUAGUGCAAUGGCAUAAGCCAGCUUGACUGCGAGCGUGACGGCGCGAGCAGGUGCGAAAGCAGGUCAUAGUGAUCCGGUGGUUCUGAAUGGAAGGGCCAUCGCUCAACGGAUAAAAGGUACUCCGGGGAUAACAGGCUGAUACCGCCCAAGAGUUCAUAUCGACGGCGGUGUUUGGCACCUCGAUGUCGGCUCAUCACAUCCUGGGGCUGAAGUAGGUCCCAAGGGUAUGGCUGUUCGCCAUUUAAAGUGGUACGCGAGCUGGGUUUAGAACGUCGUGAGACAGUUCGGUCCCUAUCUGCCGUGGGCGCUGGAGAAUUGAGGGGGGCUGCUCCUAGUACGAGAGGACCGGAGUGGACGCAUCACUGGUGUUCGGGUUGUCAUGCCAAUGGCACUGCCCGGUAGCUAAAUGCGGAAGAGAUAAGUGCUGAAAGCAUCUAAGCACGAAACU
rnacentral:rRNA from 1 species